rnacentral:rRNA from 1 species
UGCGCAGGCGGGCAUUUAAGUCAGUGGUGAAAUACUGCCGCUUAACGGUAGAACUGCCAUUGAUACUGAAUGUCUUGAGUAUGGUUGAGGUAGGCGGAAUGUGUAGUGUAGCGGUGAAAUGCAUAGAUAUUACACAGAACUCCGAUUGCGAAGGCAGCUUACUAAGCCAUAACUGACGCUGAGGCACGAAAGCGUGGGGAGCGAACAGGAGUAGAUACCCUGGUAGUCC